UUUUUAUCUGUGGAUUAUUAUUUAAAUCACAAUACAAGCAUGCCUAAUGUUUGCAUGUUGUUUAGAUCCUGCUGCACAUUAUGAAGCCUUUUUGAGAUAUCUUCGAUCUACCCAGCCUACUACUUGUAAGUUUGUAUAGUAUAACUUGAAUAUCAAAUAUUAGCAUGUAUAUCUUGGUUUAAUUUAUAUUAUUUUUGAUCUUUACUUUAUUAGUUGCUACAGUUAGUUAUUUUAAAAGCUAGUACUUUAUUUAAUGUGAGUUAAUUAAUGUGAAAUAUCUUUUGCAUACUUAAUUACUAAUCUUUUUUUUUUUAGUUUAUUUACUGUUUGUUUGAGUUAAAUAAUAUUAUUUGAUUUUAAACUAGUUUAACUAUUUGAUUUUAAACCAGUUUAACUUAUGUUUACAGUUUCUAAAUAUUAUAUUUACGUAACCAUUACUUGUUUGUAGAAGGAUUUAAAGAUCCAAUAAAAAGUGGAGUUAUGUUUCCGGAUGCAGUGAAAAAGGAUUUAGCUGUAAACUUUACUUUGCAUGGCGAAACACCUACACGCUGUCAAAAUGGACAUUUAAUUCUUUUAUUCAUUAAUAACGGCGAGUCCAUUGUUAAUACUCUUAAACAAGUCAAUCAGUUAUUUAGCUUUAACACUGGUAAACAUAAACUUUAUAAUGUUAUUAACAUUUCCAAAAAAUUGGCUAAAAAUUAUGAUAGGGAUUUUUCAAAAUUUACUGAAUUUUGUAAUCAUCCCUUUGAAUACCAUUCACCAAACAUGUCAUUGAAACAUGUCAUAAAAACAUGUCAUUGAAAAAGGCAAUAGAUCUUAAUCAGACUAGUUCAUUGAUUACUGUUUCAGGGUCUUCUGUUCUGUCAUCCCAUGAACAUAUGGCUGUUUUACCCCUAGUUAAUGACACACUGUUUUCGUCUGAAAUUUCCAUAGAAAAUAAAAAAAAGCAUGCAUCUAGAGAAGAACUGACCCCCAAAAAAGCUAAACUCAUCACUAGGUUAUCCUAAUUUUCUUCUAAGUUAGCUAUCUCAACCAAAGACUACAAGAAAAAAGUAGCAAAAGUUAAAUUGAAAUACAAUAGCAUGCCAUAUAAGUUAAAAAUAUUCAAGAAAAGUAUAAAAAGGAAAGAAGAAAUUAUUAAAGCUUUAAGGACAGAAGUUAGAGAACUAAAAAAACAAAUUAAAACUUAUCAUUACAGUCGGUUAUUUCGCAAUCUUAAAGCAAAAAAAGGCGUUGACAGUAAAAGAAAAUCAAAACUUAAUGCAAAUAACAGUAAAACAUAAUAAUGAUGGUAAGGCAAAUAAAAUGUUAAUUGCUCAAUUAGAAAAUGAUAUUUUCCAGAUAAAAGAGGGGAAAAUUCCAAAUGUUAAUAUGUCAGAAGACAAUAAGAGUUACCCUUUAAAAAUGAGGAUGAUAAUUUAUAGCAUGUUAUUAGCCCCAUGUUCCAACCAGUAAUAUUCAAUUCCUAAUUUCAAAAAUUAGGCAGUAUUUGGGUGUUAACUUUAUGGACAUUCCUCAUCGUUGUACUAUCGAACAAAUGGCUGGUGAGCUUGGCAGUAUAGCAGAACUGCUAUACUGCCAACUAAACUUUUUCAUUUCAGAACUUGUUUGUGACAGGCAGCAGAAUGAGUAAUUCUUAUCUUACACUUGGAUUCGAUGCAACAACACAUAAAGGUGUUCAUAUCAACACUGUUCAUCUGACAUCUAAAAACAACUGUCAGGUCAUUGCUCUGGACCAGUUACCAGGUGGAACAGCUGUUGAUUAUGAAAGCCAUAUAUGUGGUGCAGUUGAUCAUUUAGCUUUUAUUUAUUCAGAUUUUCACUCGCUUCCCUUUAAUGAAUGUCGAGUUCAAUCAUAUCAAAUAUAUCCAACACAAUGUCUGACAGGGUGUCGGUUAAUCAUCUUACCAUUUCCAAAAUUUGUAAUACCUGGGGAAAGAAUUUGAAUGAACUAAACUGUCAUUUACAACCUCUAGACACAAUUGUCAUUUCAUCUCGCGAAGUUUUGAAAUCUCUAGACAUUGCAAAUUGUAUGGAAGUGAUUGUAUGGCAGUAAAAAUUGUGUUAGCAAUAAACAAGAUGAGGUUUAAAGAUGGCAAAGGUGAUCCACAAGGUUUUGUAAAUUUUUUAGACAAUAACAAACUACCGCGAGGUAUUAUUCCACAGAAUCGUGGUAACUGCCUGCACAUUCUUUUCCAUACCUGUUUCAUUUUUAUGAAACACUAUACUGAUUUUCUAAAUUAUCUGACCACUGGAACAGUAAAAUGUUUCAGUUUACAACCGAUUCUACGAGAAGCAUUUUGUAAUGCAACAGCUAUAAAACAAAUGGGAGUGCUUGCGCUGUUCAGUAAACUUCUAAGUGGACCUUGGAUGACUAAGUUUUAUGUAUCAGCUGAUGAUGCAAGUUUUGAUCAUGUCACUGGUAUCCAAUUAGUAAAAAAUGUUUUAAAAGAAAUUACUUAUUGCAAAUCUGAUCCAGCUAUACUAUUUUGUAGAGAAACAGAUUUUUUUGGGACAACGCUUGCCCCAAAUAUUUUACAAUCUAUUACAACUUUAUGCCCCAUUGAUGAGCAAAUUGUUGAAAUGACUUCUGCUUGUCUAAAUGCAAUUGAUGAAGUUUUGACUCGUCAAUAUAAAAAGAUAUUUUUCUCUUUCCAUUACUGCAAAACUCAAAAAAGAGACAGCUAGUGCAAGGCUUCACAAUAUAGAUAGUGAAGAAUUAGUUGUUUUUAAGAAUUAGUAUUUUUUUUAAGAAUUAGUAUGUUUAGUGAUGCCAAAGGACGAUGCCCCAAUGCAACAAUUUCUUAUAUAUCUAGCAAAUUAAGAUCCAAAAAGAAUAAAACUAUAGAUUAUCUCAAUAAUCUUGAGGAGUUGUCUAGAGAAAAGGUAGUAAAGUGGUCUAUUUACAUGGCACGUAAAAAAAGAAUGAGAUCUCGACUACUACAUAAUGAAAUUCGAACAGAAAUUUCUGUUAGACAGGUGUUUAAACGUCAAAAAAUGGAUGAAAAACAAAAAAGAAAGUUAGAGCGUGAGCUAUGUCUAUUAACUACCAGCGAAAUAAUGAAUUUAUAUAAACACUUAUCUGCCAAGCAACUUGAUGAUUUAGAUGAUGUUAUGUCUGAAAGAAUUGUUGGAAGAAAACUCUGUCACAAAUGGUAUGUUGCCAACUAUUCAAAGACAGUUAUUUAUGAUGGAAGAGUAGAAAAAGUAAACAAGAGACAACAAGACAGAAUUUGCACUAUUUCUUACUGGAUUCAAGAUGAAACAGAUAUUGAAGCUGUUGAAUAUAAGAUGAAAAAAAUACAGCUUGCUACUGAUGUUAUGACAGGAGAAUUAGUAUUUUCUUAAUUUGAAUAUAAAAAUAAUUUAUAUGCUACUUUAUUUAAAUUUUUAUAAUUUAUAUUUGAACAUGAAAAUAGUUUAUAUUAUGUAUAACAGUUUUUAAUUAUAUUUACAUUAUAUUGAAAAAUUACCAAAGAAGUACCGCAAGUUGUGUAGCUUGCAAAAGGAGUAUCCCAAGUUUUGUAGCUUGCAAAAGGAGUAUCGCAAGUUGUUUAGCUUGCAAAUAUGGUACAGCAAGUUGUUUAGCUUGCAAAAGGAGUAUCGCAAGUUGUUUAGCUUGCAAAUAUGGUACAGCAAGUUGUGUAGCUUGCAAAUAUGGUACAGCAAUUUGUGUAGCUUGCAAAAGGAGUACCGCAAGUUGUGUAGCUUGUAAAAUAUUUUUGAUAGACGGCUCUGGCUUACCUUCACGUGGUGUUUAUUGUUAAAAGUGAUUUAUUUAGUUUCAUUAUUGGAAUUUUAAAUAAUAUCAUUUACUAAAAGCCAAGACAUAAAUUUAUUAUAUUUAAUGUUUUGUCACUUUUUAAAUGCAAGUUAUAAAAUUUGUUUUAUCUUUGGCUUAUUUUUAGGGUGGAUACUCCAUCUUACAUCUUAUAAUGUGGUAAGAUUUGUAAAGUUAUGUCUGUCUUUUUAAAUAAAUGCAAUUGAAAAAAGUGUGAAUAAGUAGAAGGGGGGGAGGGAGCGUUGGUCGUGACACGCCCCUCCCCUAACGUAGUAAAAUAAUCUUGUAUACUAACUUCUUUUCUUCAAUAAACUCAAUUGAAAACCUUUUUUUAAAUCUCUUUUUAAAAUUUUUUUUUAAUGUUGGAGAACACUGGGGAAGAGGCAGAGGGUGUUCCAGCCACACAUCCCAGCCAUGAAGUCAAAUAAUACAACACUUUUAAAUGCUGUAAAUAUUUAUGAGAAUGGAACAAUUCACUACAAGGGUGUUAAAACGUAACAAAGACAUCGACUUUUUAAUCUAAAAUAGACCACUAAUAUUUGGAAAUGGAAUGGAAGCAAAUUAGAACAAUUUUUUGUGUAUAUAGAUAAUAUAUUUUAUCAGAAAAACACCUUUUCGUGUAAAAAACUUGUAUUUUUUUAAGGGUACGAGGGUGUUCCGUACCCCCUCCGGCCCUCUAGACACCCCUUUUAUCUAUAGAGUUAUAUGAACUUGUAGCCUACUCUUACAUUUAUCUUUUGAUACCAAGGUAUAGACAUUUGGAUAAGAUUUGACAAAGUUAUAACAAUUUUAGU